rnacentral:rRNA from 1 species
CCGCNAAUUCGCCCUUCGGGGCGCAGCAGGCGCGAAAACUUUGCAAUGCGGGAAACCGUGACAAGGGAACUCUGAGUGCCCGUUAAAUCGGGCUGUCCAUCGGUUUAAAUAACCGGUGAAGAAAGGGCCGGGCAAGACCGGUGCCAGCCGCCGCGGUAAUACCGGCGGCUCGAGUGGUGGCCACUAUUACUGGGCUUAAAGCGUUCGUAGCUGGUUUGUUAAGUCUCUGGGGAAAUCUUCCGGCUUAACCGGAAGGCGUCUCAGGGAUACUGGCAGACUAGGGACCGGGAGAGGUGAGAGGUACUCCAGGGGUAGGAGUGAAAUCCUGUAAUCCUUGGGGGACCACCUGUGGCGAAGGCGUCUCACCAGAACGGCUCCGACAGUGAGGGACGAAAGCUGGGGGAGCAAACCGGAUUAGAUACCCGGGUAGUCCCAGCUGUAAACGAUGCGCGUUAGGUGUAUCGGUGACCACGAGUCACCGAGGUGCCGAAGAGAAAUCGUGAAACGUGCCGCCUGGGAAGUACGGUCGCAAGGCUGAAACUUAAAGGAAUUGGCGGGGGAGCAC